rnacentral:lncRNA from 1 species
AGCGCAAUAUGCUAAUCAAACAUAGAUAUCAAAUGUUUUUGUCGUUUUGUAUUUACAGUUUUCGAAAAUGAUACUUCAGAACAAGGACUAUUUCUCUUCAUUUUCCGAAAAUGGACUUAAAACGAGGACUAAAAUUUAAUGUCUGCUGUUUUUAUGUGGCAAAAUUUGAUCAAUAUAAAGGGAUUUUAUCUUCAAUUCACUAAAAGGAAACACAACGUUUUCCUUUAUUAAUGGUGGACUAUUGGUACCAUCCUGGAAUUAUUUCACACAACUGCUGAGUUGGAUAGCUUUAUGACUGGAUCAUUAAGUAGGCUCCUGAUCUACAACUGUAAGAGAUGCCAAGAGAAAGGCAAGCGGAAAUGUCGUGCCAUUAUGUCCAGCAAAGAAGCUAAAGAUAUGCUGCAUACAGGAAAAUUAUUCCAAAAGGAAAGUAGACGAAAUAGUUGAACCUAAAUAUUCAUCUAAGAAGCAAAGAGUAUGCGGCAUACAAGAAAAGGGUCCUGUUGGCCUUCCUUUUCAAGUGACUGGAGGUCUUUCCGCCGGAAGAUCCUGUGCAAUUGAGUGCUGUUCAUUUGGUAACACUUUGGCAGCUUCGAGUCGACAAGAUGACUUGGAUCAAGAAAAGAAGGAGAACAGUACUCUUGAUUAGAAUAUCACAAUGGUUUUGGAUUACAAGGAUGAAAUAAUCUAUAACGAAGCUAAACACGAUCAUGAGAAGAAAUUUAAAGUGAUAUGUUGAAUGCAAGAUGGGUGGACAAACGCGACUAUUUAAACUACAUUCCUUUUAUACUAGUACUUUUCAAGAUGAUACCAUCUAAAAUAAAUUUCAAUUGUAAACUGCAAUGUUACGUAUUAUACUUAAACAAGUAUUGCCCACUCAGUAUUUAUAUCAGAGAAGAUACUGACAUUUUCCAAAUGACCAAUUUAGCCUUUAUUCCUGAUUUUUCCGUGGUCACCAUACCAAAGAGUAGGAAUAACUGGCAAAAAUGACAUGAUGUUUUUUGUAUUGUUUAUUUUAACAUAUUUAUUUUUAUAAAUCUUCUUCAUUUUGAUUUUUUGUAAUAACAACGACUUUAUCAUCUUCAUUGUCAUUUUGUACACAACUUUUCAAUACAGCAUAACGUAUACAAUUAAAGUCGGUAAAAGAUAUUUUAGAGCAAAUAAUAUUGAAUCUACUUUUCUGCUCAAUAACUUAGGAAUAUUUUGACCUAUGAUCCUCAAAUCACAUUUCACACUGCAUGACCUGUUUUAGUUCUGCGGUUAUUGAGUUAAAGGUUAAGGUCACAUUGACUGUUAGUAUACAAAACGGUUUCCGCUAAAUAUCUGGAGAACCCUUACCGUAAGUUUCUUCAACUUUGCAGACGAAUUACCAUUGGGCAGUAUAUAACCUGUAUUCACUUUAAGGUCAAUAAAUUAAACGGUAAGGUCCCAGAACUGUUAAUACAAAAAUGUGUUCUGCUCAAUAUCUUCAGAAUGCAUUGACUUUUAAUUCUCAAACUCAGUAGGCUCAUCGUUCAUGUGUAGUGGUUACCCAUAUUGAUAUAAAAGUCAGUGGGUCAAUUAUCAAUGUCACAGGUAUUGUUUAUAACAAAAAUAUUUUCCUUUUAGCAACCCCUACACCUAGCAGCCUUUUUGUCAAGCAUAUUAUAUAUCGCCUCUCAAGAUUUGAAACCUUGCUCGGGGUAAAUAAUCAUUUUACGCAAGGCCAUCUAGCUGAAUUACGAAAGAUCAGUCGCCCAUCCAUGCCUAUAAUACAACUUGGAGGAGAACCUGGGUCUUCAUCCACCAUCAAAAGUUGGAAAGUCGCUAUAUUUCCGAAAAUGUUUAUAAAGCUUUAUUUUUGUAUUAACGAUAGUAUAUUGAAUGUUGAAAUUAUGAGAACACAUGAAAAUUUAUUGAAUAGAUAAUUGUGCCUUGUUUAAUUUCUACACUUCAUUAUAGUUAUACAUAUGUGCGCAGGUACUACAUCUAUUUCUGUUCCAAGACAAAUCAUUUAUAUGCUACUGUAUAUGUUAUGUUUUAAAAUGUUUAUUAACAAUUUUGUAAUAUAUUAUUUUAUGCUGGCAAAGUUAUGGCAGCAUGUCUCCAGGUUGUGUACAACAAUCAUGAACAUCUAUAUAUUAUUUCAAAUUUCACACACUGAUAAUGAUAACAUACUUGAAUAAAUGCAAUUUGAUAUUUACAAGGUAGUAUCAGUGUCACCAUUAUAUAUAUAUAUAUAUAUAUAUAUAUAUAUAUAUAGUGUUUAAAGGCAGACAAUUAUUUUUAAGCAACAUGUUUUCGUAUAUUUUGUUAGAGAUUUAAGCAACAAAUUAACCCAUUACAUAUUGUUAAAUCCAUAUUACAAAUGUAUGUUUUAUUGGUUUUUACACAUUUUUAUAAUUUUCCACCACUUUUUGAAAUUUUACGAUUUAAUUUUAUAUUUUACUAUUGCAUUGAUUUUGGAAUAUUUCAACAAUCUGAACCAAAAGGCAAGUUUUAAGACUGUGGAUAGUUUCUGAAUUCACUUAUUUCUGAUCUGCAUUGGCUAUGCAAAUAUAAUAAAUAUGUCCAUAUUUAUAUAAUUUCUAUGGCUAAGUAGUUUUCAAAUUUAUACUUUUGCUAUGUUAGAUCUAUCUUGGUUGGGCAAUCAAAUUUAAAAACAACACUUGUGAAGAACUAACUGUAUUAAGCGCUUAGUGAACAAAAAGUGCGAAUGAUCAGAUGUUAAAGCUUUGAACUAAUUGAUUACUUGUCUCAAAUCUGAUAAAUCACCUUAACAGUGCUGCCUAAACGCACAUUUAGGUACAUUUAUUUUUACAAUAUUUUAUUUAAUGUUUUAUUGACAUGUUUCAUCUUAACUACAUUAACAUUGUUACAUUUGAACUAGUGUGUUAGUGAGUAUAUCUCAUCUCUGACGAAGCACAGAUUAGAAAAAACGGCUUAUGCAAUGGAUGAAGUUUUGAAAAUUUCGUACAGGCAGCUGAACAAUUGUACAGAUUGUCCUGUAUAUUUACUUGAUAAAAUUGAAGAUAAUAUGUCAAGAUUUGUUAGUGAACAUAAAUUUAUAUAUGCAAUAAAGUGAAAUAAAAACGA